GACGAACCGUGCGAACGUUGUUCGGAUUCACUGGGCUUAAAGGGCGCGUAGGCGGCUUGCCAAGUCAGGGGUGAAAUCUUUCGGCUCAACCGGAAAACAGCUUCUGAUACUGGCGGGCUUGAGGAGGGUAGGGGCAGAUGGAACUUCCGGUGGAGCGGUGAAAUGCGUAGAUAUCGGAAGGAACGCCGGUGGCGAAAGCGAUCUGCUGGACCCUUUCUGACGCUGAGGCGCGAAAGCCGGGGGAGCAAACGGG
rnacentral:rRNA from 1 species